CACGUAGGAGGCGAACGUUAUCCGGAUUUAUUGGGCGUAAAGCGCGUGUAGGUGGUUCUGUAAGUAGGGCGUGAAAGCUCCUGGCUCAACCGGGAGAGGCCGUUCUAUACUGCAGAGCUAGAGGAUGGUAGAGGGAGGUGGAAUUCCAGGUGUAGCGGUGGAAUGCGCAGAUAUCUGGAGGAACACCAGUGGCGAAGGCGGCCUCCUGGACCAUUCCUGACACUGAGACGCGAAAGCUAGGGUAGCAAACGGGAUUAGAUACCCCGGUAGUCCCU
rnacentral:rRNA from 1 species